rnacentral:rRNA from 1 species
AGUGAACGCUGGCGGUAGGCCUAACACAUGCAAGUCGAACGGCAGCACAGGAGAGCUUGCUCUCUGGGUGGCGAGUGGCGGACGGGUGAGGAAUACAUCGGAAUCUACUCUGUCAUGGGGGAUAACGUAGGGAAACUUACGCUAAUACCGCAUACGACCUACGGGUGAAAGCAGGGGACCUUCGGGCCUUGCGCGAUUGAAUGAGCCGAUGUCGGAUUAGCUAGUUGGCGGGGUAAAGGCCCACCAAGGCGACGAUCCGUAGCUGGUCUGAGGGGAUGAUCAGCCACACUGGAACUGAGACACGGUCCAGACUCCUACGGGAGGCAGCAGUGGGGAAUAUUGGACAAUGGGCGCAAGCCUGAUCCAGCCAUACCGCGUGGGUGAAGAAGGCCUUCGGGUUGUAAAGCCCUUUUGUUGGGAAAGAAAUCCAGCUGGCUAAUACCCGGUUGGGAUGACGGUACCCAAAGAAUAAGCACCGGCUAACUUCGUGCCAGCAGCCGCGGUAA